rnacentral:rRNA from 1 species
UACGUAGGGGGCAAGCGUUGUCCGGAAUCAUUGGGCGUAAAGAGCGUGUAGGCGGCCAGAAAAGUCCGCUGUGAAAACUCGAGGCUCAACUUCGAGCUGUCGGUGGAAACUUUCUGGCUAGAGUCCGGAAGAGGAGAGUGGAAUUCCUGGUGUAGCGGUGAAAUGCGUAGAUAUCAGGAGGAAUACCGGUGGCGAAAGCGACUCUCUGGACGGCAACUGACGCUGAGGCACGAAAGCGUGGGGAGCAAACAGG